rnacentral:rRNA from 1 species
AUGCCCGGGGCUGCUAUGGUGGAGAGCUCAAUUCCAACGGGAUUGGAUGCUCUGUUUCAGCCAAGGCAGCAGCCUCUGCUUCCCUCGUCGGCUUCCUCCCCAGUCAAGGCCCCAACGCGCAGGCGCAAGACCCUGGCUGGCAUGCACAUCACCACCAAUGGUGGGUUCUCGCUGAGGCACAACAGUGCGCGGAUCAUGGCUCGCGGCGCUGGCUUUGCCACUGCCAUGGCCAAGGAAGCGCAGGGGCUGCUCUGCCGCUCGAUUGGCAUUGUACAAGACGGGGAAGAUAUCACAGACAAGACGCUGAAGGCAUUCGAAGACCAGUUCAAGGAGCAACUCCCAGAGGCGGUCAUGGCAGCCUUGCGAGGCUUGUUCAAAGUUGAUGAUGUUGUUGCUGGAGAGGUGGAGGAGGCCCUAAUCAACCACGGGGGUGAGGCUGCGAUUGACCAUGAGGCCACGGCAACGGCGCCGUCUGCCUAG